UACGUAGGGUGCGAGCGUUAAUCGGAAUUACUGGGCGUAAAGCGUGCGCAGGCGGUUUUGUAAGCCAGAUGUGAAAUCCCCGGGCUUAACCUGGGAAUGGCAUUUGGGACUGCAAGGCUUGAGUGCGGCAGAGGAGACUGGAAUUCCUGGUGUAGCAGUGAAAUGCGUAGAUAUCAGGAGGAACACCAGUGGCGAAGGCGAGUCCCUGGACAACACCUGACACUGAGGCACGAAAGCUAGGGGAGCAAACAGG
rnacentral:rRNA from 1 species